UACGAAGGGGGCUAGCGUUGCUCGGAAUCACUGGGCGUAAAGCGCACGUAGGCGGAUUUCUAAGUCAGGGAUGAAAUCCUGGAGCUCAACUCCAGAACUGCCUUUGAUACUGGGAAUCUCGAGUCCGGGAGAGGUGAGUGGAACUGCGAGUGUAGAGGUGAAAUUCGUAGAUAUUCGCAAGAACACCAGUGGCGAAGGCGGCUCACUGGCCCGAUACUGACGCUGAGGUGCGAAAGCGUGGGGAGCAAACAGG
rnacentral:rRNA from 1 species